rnacentral:tRNA from 1 species
GCCCGGCUAGCUCAGUCGGUAGACCGUUGGACUCUUAAUCCAACGGUCGUGGGUUCGAGCCCCACGUUGGGCG